rnacentral:rRNA from 1 species
UAUACCGUGAAACUGCGAAUGGCUCAUUAAAUCAGUUAUCGUUUAUUUGAUAGUACCUUACUACUUGGAUAACCGUGGUAAUUCUAGAGCUAAUACAUGCUGAAAACCCCAACUUCGGGAGGGGUGUAUUUAUUAGAUAAAAAACCAACGCCCUUCGGGGCUUCUUGGUGAUUCAUGAUAACUUAACGGAUCGCAUGGCCUUGCGCCGGCGACGGUUCAUUCAAAUUUCUGCCCUAUCAACUUUCGAUGGUAAGGUAUUGGCUUACCAUGGUUUCAACGGGUAACGGGGAAUUAGGGUUCGAUUCCGGAGAGGGAGCCUGAGAAACGGCUACCACAUCCAAGGAAGGCAGCAGGCGCGCAAAUUACCCAAUCCUGAUACAGGGAGGUAGUGACAAUAAAUACUGAUACAGGGCUCUUUUGGGUCUUGUAAUUGGAAUGAGUACAAUUUAAACCUCUUAACGAGGAACAAUUGGAGGGCAAGUCUGGUGCCAGCAGCCGCGGUAAUUCCAGCUCCAAUAGCGUAUAUUAAAGUUGUUGCAGUUAAAAAGCUCGUAGUUGAACCUUGGGUCUGGCUGGCAGGUCCGCCUCACCGCGUGUACUUGUCCGGCCGGGCCUUCCUUCUGGAGAACCUCAUGCCCUUCACUGGGCGUGUUGGGGACCAGGACUUUUACUUUGAAAAAAUUAGAGUGUUCAAAGCAGGCCUUUGCUCGAAUACGUUAGCAUGGAAUAAUAAAAUAGGACGUGCGGUCCUAUUUUGUUGGUUUCUAGGACCGCCGUAAUGAUUAAUAGGGACAGUCGGGGGCAUCAGUAUUCAAUUGUCAGAGGUGAAAUUCUUGGAUUUAUUGAAGACUAACUACUGCGAAAGCAUUUGCCAAGGAUGUUUUCAUUAAUCAGUGAACGAAAGUUAGGGGAUCGAAGACGAUCAGAUACCGUCGUAGUCUUAACCGUAAACUAUGCCGACUAGGGAUCGGGCGAUGUUCUUUUUCUGACUCGCUCGGCACCUACGAGAAAUCAAAGUU